ACAAAGCGAUGCAAAGAUAUCAAGCACCUAAUUUUUGGACAAAACGUUUCGUUACAAAAUUUUUGCGAGUUGUAGGAAACAUUUAAACACAUGUAUAUAAUGUAAAAUACUUCAGUUAUAUAACGUACGGUAAAACUGGAUGAUACAUUUUAAGAUUGCGAUUAUGUAUAAAUAUCAUGUAACCUGAAUAGAAGUGACACAAAUUUCGUGUCUAAAUUUAUAUGCUUUAGAAGCAGUCCAGCACCAACAAAGUCUACGGGAAAGAAGCAAUGUCUAUCUCAUCGGCCUUCCAUGUCUAGCAGCGUUGAUAUUUCUUGCGUCGGUGGUUUUCUGCAUGCGCAGACAGUAUAGACGUAAAAGAAAACGAAUUUAUGCCGAACCUGAGGAGUCGUGUGCUAUUUCCCUUGUCCUAGCACAUUCUAGUAGUAAUACUCAGCUAACAGUUACUACAGAUAUGACCAAAUUAAUAAAUGAAACUGAAAAACACCAUUCACCCGAACAAUUAAACAAAGAAACGGACAUUGGCCGUGCACCACCUGUCACGCCGCCAUCCGAUAAUAACGAUGCGGACUCCAUCAAAGAAGCUAGAUCUGAACCCCGCGGUAAUUCAACAACAGAUAUCGUUGACCAACCCGGCGCCUCUGGUUCACCUGAGCCACACGAUGGACAAUGCCAUGACGGACGGUUAUGCAGUGUUUCUCCACAAUCUAAAGAUCAUGGAAAACUGUGCACAAAUUCGUCUUAUUUCAAAUACCCUACAGAAACCAACGGUUAGAGAGUGAUGGGUGCUUUGUUUCAUAUACUAACUUUCGCUAGGGUAGGUAUUCUUACACUUUUUGAUGAUUUAAUAGUGUAUUUUUUUAUAAGUAUGCUUACGACAUACAUAUAUAUAUAUAAACAGUGUUUAAAUGCAAAGCAUUGUUAAACACGAUGUUUAGUUUAUUAUAAAAGACGCGGUUAUUUGAAUGCGCUCCUUGUAAUGCAUUUCCGCAUGUCUCGCAUAACUGACGUCAGGAGUGGCAUUGGAAUACAUAAUAGGGUGUCACGUCACUGUUCGUGAAAAUAGGCUUACAUGUCAACAAGCAAAGCGUGACUUUAUACAUUGGAGUGUUUAUUAUAAUAAUGCAUAGUAUAUUAUUUAAAUCCUUAUCGAACUUAAAAAAUAUAUUAAAGACUUCAGUUGUGAUCGUAAUUUGUACGAAGUGCAUUAAACGCAUGUGAAGCUUAUGAAAUCCCAACUGCGUCUUGGAAAUCCCAUUGGUAAAACUGCGUAUCAUACAUUAAACAUAAUCAGGCUAAAUCUGACCUUAAUAUUCAAAGCAGUCGUUCCUUGAUUAGCUUAUGGACUUUGUGUGAAACAAAUGUUCUUGUUUGCACUGUUAUUUAUGUUACUCCAAACCGCAGGUAUGAAAGUACAGUGUAAAGUUUACACAUUUCUGAGUCAAACACGUAAGGCUGUGUGACUUGCUAUUUGAGCUGUUCGUUGUGAAAGGUAUCGUGUAGACGAUAAUCAACUGUCACCUUUUGAAACAUUAUUGUCAGGAUAAAAAAAAAACGAACAUAGAGCUUCUUGUGUGUUGGAUACGAAAAUGGUUAAAUAUAUAGAUACUGUAGUUUCCAAUGCAUUUUAAUAAUAUUAGAUACUAAUAUAUUAUUUUCAAAUAUAUAAUUCCAUCAACAAUUGCUCUGUAUUAUGUCAUUUUGUGUGGUUGUUUUUAUUUUUAAGACGGUUUUAUUUGAAUAAGUCGUAUGCUUUCAAGGCAAGAAGUUUUUCCUUGUCAUUUGUUUAAUCUAAUGUAAUACGACGACAAAAUAUUCAUGUUUUAUCUGUUAUUAAUCAACCGAAGUUACCAUACUGUGAAGAUGUAUAUCGUUCAACAAAAAACGUAAGUUGAGCAAGAUUGACUAGGCACAAGUUUUGCCGAUCAAUUCGGUUUUGCCCAAAGACAAUCACAAGUGGAAUUUCCGCUGAUGUCAAUGCGGCAUUUUCACAUUCACUGAGUGGAAAUUCCAGAUCUACAACAGUUAUUUUACCGAUACGGUUAGAUAACAUAAGCACAGAUAUUUACUCUUGUAGUAUCGAUUUCGUAAAAUACGAACAACGACUAGUUAAAAAAAGUCAUUACAUUAUUAUUUAACAAUUUUGUAUUAUAACUUUACAUUACGCAUUUCACUUUAUAUAAAUCGAAAGUAGUAAUGCAUGGAAAUAACAAAAACACGUUAGAAAACUGGGUCAUGGGUAUGUUCUGCAUGAACAUUGUAGGCUCGUUGUUUACAUAAUCAACAUUGGUAAAUUAAAAUAUUGAAAUUCCUCACCUUAGAUCCAAUAAAACUAAUUUUGAAUUUUCA